CGGCCAUGUGCUUAUGAAAACGAAGGAACUGCGCUUGCGCGUUUUACUCAUUCUAUCGCGAUAUUUCAUUAUCCUAUCGUUGCCUAACAUUAUACCGGUAUUACCGAGAACGGUAUAAUAUGGCCUAGCCAUAACUCACAGGUCAGGUGCACACAGCCACUUAAUCAGGUGUAAAGACUGAGCACACGUCUCAGGGUGACCUGCUGUCCUCCAGCCAAUCAAAGCGUGACGUCUUGGGCUCUCUUCAUUAAAGGGCAUGCUGGCUCCGAGGCGUGCUGGCUCUGAGGUGUGCUCUGCAUUUUUAAUCUUCUUUAACUCCGACUUAGUUUGAAUUUCAGGGUUUUUACUGAAAUCAAAUAAACAUUAAAUGACCUGCUCAGAAUCAGUAGAUCGCCCAGUCCAGGUCCGUCACAUGACUUCCUGUGUGAUUCCAGCCUCAUUUAUUAUCUGUUGUAUUGAUAAGUUUGUAGCCGACCUGCUUCCUCUGUCCAUCCUCAUCUGUUCUGCUUGGUGUGAAGGUUAACGUGUGAUUGGCCGAUUCCUCCCGCAGGGAUUGGUUCACCUCCUUGGUGGGAGGGUUAAAGCGUCUCCUCUGGUUGCAUAACGAGGUUGGGGGGUCAUCUGAGACUCUGAGCUUAGAUCCUCCCUGAUUCGGACUCUCGGUAUCUCACGCUGACGCAGAUCUGAGCCGAAGCCUCCCGAGGCCCAGGCUCCGCCCACACAACCUGCAUCUCAUUAAUAUGCAUGAGACCAAAGCACCACCUGGGACCACGCCUGGCAGACAUCCUUCCUGCUCCGCCCACACACUGUGCUCUUCAUCAUCAUCAUCAUCCUCCUACUCACUGUGGAUGAAGACAUCAUGUCUGAGCCGGACUCACUGACCCUCAGUGACCUCUGACCUCUGACAGUCCUCCUCUGGGACUCCCUAAAGAAGAGGAGAGAUAUACAUGUGAGCACAGCUGAGCGGCCCCCUGAGCUCUGAAUAAAUCACCGUGUUCAUCAGCAGGAGCGCGAGGUUCCAGACGGCUGGAUCUAUUUCUCUGCUGGUUUAGGCACUGGAAACAGACUCUGUGGUGUUUGCUACAGGUUGGUGUUGAUGCUCUUUGGGUGAAAUUGGCCUCUUUUCAUCAGGAACCCUGCACGCCAAGCUGGAGGGAAGCCCGGUGCUGUUGCCACGACAGCAGCGGGUCUGAAGCUCUGCAGCAUCCCUCCAACCUGGCGCCGAUUAACGACGCAAUGAACCGACAGGCUCGUCAAAGCAUCCAGAAUAGAUGACCUGGUUUGUGAAACAGAGGCAGAGGAAGUGUCCUCCAAGUCUGAGCCGUCAGGCUGAUCUGGGUGCGUGAGUUCAUUCUUUCUGUCUCUCUCACACACACGCGCACAUGCACACACACAGGGUGUUACUCCACUGUGAUGGGCGGAGCAUCAAAGUGCCUCUCUCACCUCUCGGCUGGACUGUCACUCAUCCCUGCUGUGCAGGUGGUUUCCAUGGAAACGGGAGGAAACUGGACUCCAGGUCUGUGAUGAUGAGUUUUAAAGCCUCACUACAGCCCAUUAAAUACAGAAAUCAUGAAGAAAAUGUUUUAUUUUGGAAAAAGUUUCGAACCAUUCAUUUAUUUAGUGAUUAUUAUUAUUAAAUAAAUUAUUUAAAGGAACUGUGGUCAGUAGUAGGACCCUACAUUCUGUUUCUCUUAAAUACUUUGUUGACAACUGGAGUCUUCCCUGAAAGUUUUAAAUCAGCUGUGGUAGUGCCGAUCUUAAAAAAAGCCUGGACUGGUGUGAUGGCAUCAGCCACACAGGGGUAAAUUAGUCCAUUUUUUACUUUAUUAGUUUGCUUUGCAGUUUUUUUCAUUAAUCAUUUGGUUAAACCUAACACUGGUAUUAUGAGGCGCGCACAUAGUAACAUUGUGUGGAUUUUCUAAAAUGUUUUGUUAUAUUAAUUAUGUUUCUCUUUCUUUGAGUUACCUGGGUUUGGGCGGUGGCUGUUUCCUGUCUGGGCAAAAGGCGUGGCUUAGGACUCUGGGAACAAAAUGCCUGCUCUGCAGGACCAACCAUGGGCUUACCAGGUGCAGGGGUGUUUUAGGUUUAGUUAGGUUAUUCUGUGCUUAGUUAAUAUUAGUGUGUUUUUGUUUUUCCCCCCUGUUGUGUGUAAAUGGUUUGGCCAAAUCAUUAUAAAAGUUACCCUCAUGUGUCUUUGUAAUUAGGUCAGUUUGUGAGUUAAGUUGUGUCUCACUUUGUUUUGUUUAAGUUUCUGGAAAUUCCUUUUUGUAGAGUUAUAGUUAGUUGACCUCUUUUAUGGGCCUGCUAACUAUGUUUUUGAAUUUUGGAC